UCAAGCGACUAAGUGUAUGUGGUGGAUGCCUUGGCGAUCACAGGCGAUGAAGGACGUGAAAGCCUGCGAAAAGCUGUGGGGAGCUGGCAAAUAAGCUUUGAUCCACAGAUCUCCGAAUGAGGGAACUCACUUGGCUUCUGCCAAGUAUCCAUGUCUGAAUACAUAGGGCAUGGAGGCGAACGCGGUGAACUGAAACAUCUAAGUAACCGCAGGAAAAGAAAUCAACCGAGAUUCCGAAAGUAGCGGCGAGCGAAAUCGGACGAGCCUAGUGCUUGAUAAUGCUGCCGACAGCAGAACGGUCUGGAAAGUCCGGCUACAGAGGGUGAUAGCCCCGUAUGCGAAGUCCGCAGCAUGGUACUAAGAGCACGAUAAGUAGGGCGGGACACGUGACAUCCUGUCUGAAGAUGGGGGGACCAUCCUCCAAGGCUAAAUACUCGUGAUCGACCGAUAGUGAACCAGUACUGUGAAGGAAAGGCGAAAAGAACCCCGGGAGGGGAGUGAAAUAGAUCCUGAAACCGCAUACAUACAAACAGUAGGAGCCUCGUUAAGGGGUGACUGCGUACCUUUUGCAUAAUGGGUCAGCGACUUACGUUCAAUGGCGAGCUUAACCGUAUAGGGGAGGCGCAGCGAAAGCGAGUUCGAACAGAGCGAUUUCAGUCGUUGGGCGUAGACCCGAAACCAGAUGAUCUAUCCAUGGUCAGGUUGAAGGUGUGGUAACACACACUGGAGGACCGAACCGACUAGUGUUGCAAAAUUAGCGGAUGAACUGUGGAUAGGGGUGAAAGGCUAAACAAAUCUGGAGAUAGCUGGUUCUCCCCGAAAACUAUUGAGGUAGUGCCUCGUGUAUGGCUCCAGGGGGUAGAGCACUGUUAUGGCUAGGGGGACAUGGCGUCUUACCAAACCAUGGCAAACUCCGAAUACUUGGAAGUCGAAGCACGGGAGACAGAGCACCGGGUGCUAACGUCCGGACUCAAAAGGGAAACAACCCAGACCGCCGGCUAAGGUCCCUAAUAUGAACUGAGUGGAAAACGAAGUGGGAAGGCUAAGACAGUCAGGAAGUUGGCUUAGAAGCAGCCAUCCUUCAAAGAAAGCGUAAUAGCUCACUGAUCGAGUCUUCCUGCGCGGAAGAUGUAACGGGGCUAAGUUCAUAACCGAAGCCGCGGAUUCACACGCAAGUGUGAGUGGUAGGGGAGCGUUCUGUAAGCCUGCGAAGGUGACUCGCAAGGGUUGCUGGAGGUAUCAGAAGUGCGAAUGCUGACAUGAGUAACGUUAAAGCGGGUGAAAAGCCCGCUCGCCGUAAGCCCAAGGUUUCCUGCUCUACGUUCAUCGGAGCAGGGUGAGUCGGCCCCUAAGGCGAGGCUGAGAAGCGUAGCUGAUGGGAACAAGGUUAAUAUUCCUUGACCGCCGUUGAGUGCGAAGGGGGGACGGAGUGUUGAAGAUCAUCCGGGUGUUGGAUGUCCCGGUUUCCGCGCGUAGGAGGCCUGCAGGCAAAUCCGCAGGCGAAUCUCCGAGGCAAAGGAUCGAGUCCCAUUGGGGACGAAGUGAUUGGAUGGACUUCCAGGAAAAGCCUCUAAGCUCCAGCUCAACGGGACCGUACCGCAAACCGACACUGGUGGGCGAGCUGAAUAUGCUCAGGCGCUUGAGAGAACUCAGGAGAAGGAACUCGGCAAAUUGACACCGUAACUUCGGGAUAAGGUGUGCCUUGGUAGCGUGGAGGGAGAAACACCCCGAGCGUGAAGAGGUCUCAGAGAAUCGGUGGCUGCGACUGUUUACUAAAAACACAGCACUCUGCAAAGACGAAAGUCGACGUAUAGGGUGUGAUGCCUGCCCGGUGCUGGAAGAUUAAUUGAUGGGGUGCAAGCUCCUGAUCGAAGUCCCAGUAAACGGCGGCCGUAACUAUAACGGUCCUAAGGUAGCGAAAUUCCUUGUC
rnacentral:rRNA from 1 species